rnacentral:misc_RNA from 1 species
CGGUUUGGUUCGGUUUUUAAAAUUCUUGAUUUUCGGUUUUAUCGGUUCGGAACCGAACCGACCAUUUGCACACCCCUGGAUAGUACAUUCCACUUUUUGCGACAUGAUUGAUAGCAGAAAAUGCAAAAACAUUCUUAAUAAGUAAAAUUGCACUCUGAGCAAAAGAGAAAGCAACGAGCAAUGCAAUAAAGCCAUUCAACAGAAAUAAUAAUCCACAGCACUAGAAAUUUUCAAGACUUCCUAAGGACUUAAAAUGAAGCAUAUGAAAGACAGAGUAGAUUGCAACUUACAGUUCCCAACACAUCACUCACAUC